AUUGAACGCUGGCGGCAGGCCUAACACAUGCAAGUCGAGCGGGGUUUUCGGACCUAGCGGCGGACGGGUGAGUAAUGCGUAGGAAGCUACCCGAUAGAGGGGGAUACCAGUUGGAAACGACUGUUAAUACCGCAUAAUGUCUACGGACCAAAGUGUGGGACCUUCGGGCCACAUGCUAUCGGAUGCGCCUACGUGGGAUUAGCUAGUUGGUGAGGUAAUGGCUCACCAAGGCGACGAUCUCUAGCUGGUUUGAGAGGAUGAUCAGCCACACUGGAACUGAGACACGGUCCAGACUCCUACGGGAGGCAGCAGUGGGGAAUAUUGGACAAUGGGCGCAAGCCUGAUCCAGCCAUGCCGCGUGUGUGAAGAAGGCCUCGGUUGUAAG
rnacentral:rRNA from 1 species